GGGAUUAUGGCUCAGUGGUAGAGCGCUUGCCCACAUGUGCAAGGGGGCCUGGGUUCGAUCCUCAGCACCA
rfam:Ictidomys tridecemlineatus contig078086, whole genome shotgun sequence.